rnacentral:snoRNA from 1 species
AUUGGCCCUUAUCGAAGUCGUUUCAGUGAACACCGUGACUGAAACGGUCAUCAAGGUGCCUAAAGUAUAACUUUUACCGACGGUCGCUGCUUAGUUUUUAAUAACUAAGGGGCAACAUUAUGGAAAAGGAUAUUG